CAGCUGGUGUACCUGACGAGCACGCCGCGUGAAGGAGAAGGUUUUCGGAUUGUAAACUUCUGUUAUAAAGGAAGAACGGCGGCUACAGGAAAUGGUAGCCGAGUGACGGUACUUUAUUAGAAAGCCACGGCUAACUACGUGCCAGCAGCCGCGGUAAUACGUAGGUGGCAAGCGUUAUCCGGAAUUAUUGGGCGUAAAGAGGGAGCAGGCGGCAGCAAGGGUCUGUGGUGAAAGCCUGAAGCUUAACUUCAGUAAGCCAUAGAAACCAGGCAGCUAGAGUGCAGGAGAGGAUCGUGGAAUUCCAUGUGUAGCGGUGAAAUGCGUAGAUAUAUGGAGGAACACCAGUGGCGAAGGCGACGAUCUGGCCUGCAACUGACGCUCAGUCCCGAAAGCGUGGGGAGCAAAUAGGAUUAGAUACC
rnacentral:rRNA from 1 species